rnacentral:rRNA from 1 species
GACGAACGCUGGCGGCGUGCUUAACACAUGCAAGUCGAACGGAAAGGCCCUGCUUUUGUGGGGUGCUCGAGUGGCGAACGGGUGAGUAACACGUGAGUAACCUGCCCUUGACUUUGGGAUAACUUCAGGAAACUGGGGUUAAUACCGGAUAGGAGCUCCUGCUGCAUGGUGGGGGUUGGAAAGUUUCGGCGGUCGGGGAUGGACGCGCGGCUUAUCAGCUUGUUGGUGGGGUAGUGGCUUACCAAGGCUUUGGCGGGUAGCCGGCCUGGGAGGGUGACCGGCCACAUUGGUACUGCGAUACGGCCCAGACUCCUACGGGGGGCAGCAGUGGGGAAUAUUGCACAGUGGGCGGAAGCCUGAUGCAGCAACGCCGCGUGCGGGAUGACGGCCUUCGGGUUGUAAACCGCAUUCGCCUGUGACGAAGCGUGAGUGACGGUACUGGGUAAAGAAGCACCGGCUAACUACGUG